rnacentral:rRNA from 1 species
CCUCUGCCCUAUGUAUUUUAUAAAUGGCAGUCUUAGCGUGAGGACAUUAAGGUAGCAAAAUAAUUUGUGCUUUUAAUGAGUUCCAGUAUGAAUGGGGUUGUUGGUUGAUUAUUUACUAAUUAUUUUUAUGAAUUAUUAUUUUAUUUAAGAAAUAAUAAGUGUAUUUAAACAAAGAUAAGUCUUCGGAAAUUUUUUUACCUAGUGAUUUUUUAAUCUUUAGGUAUUUUUUCUAGGGUAGAAUUUUAUAUAAUUUUUAUUACUAUUUUUAAUAGAAAAAAUUACUCCGGAGUUAACAGAAAAACAUACUUUAAUCAGUUUCUUAUGAUAUGAGUAAGUUUUACAUCGAUGUUGUAUCCCAAUUGUUUUAGAGAGGAGGAGGCUUUAUUUUUUAGACUGUUCUUCUGGUAAUAAAUUGGACGUGAUAUUAGUUUAAUUCAUCGUGAGAUAGAAUUGUUUAUCUUG